AGAGCGAACGCUGGCGGCAGGCUUAACACAUGCAAGUCGAGCGCCCCGCAAGGGGAGCGGCAGACGGGAGAGUAACACGUGGGAACGUACCUUUCGGUUCGGAACAACCCAGGGAAACUUGGGCUAAUACCGGAUAAGCCCUUACGGGGAAAGAUUUAUCGCCGAAAGAUCGGCCCGCGUCUGAUUAGCUAGUUGGUGAGGUAAUGGCUCACCAAGGCGACGAUCAGUAGCUGGUCUGAGAGGGUGAUCAGCCACAUUGGGACUGAGACACGGCCCAAACUCCUACGGGAGGCAGCAGUGGGGAAUAUUGGACAAUGGGCGCAAGCCUGAUCCAGCCAUGCCGCGUGAGUGAUGAAGGCCCUAGGGUUGUAAAGCUCUUUUGUGCGGGAAGAUAAUGACGGUACCGCAAGAAUAAGCCCCGGCUAACUUCGUGCCAGCAGCCGC
rnacentral:rRNA from 1 species